rnacentral:rRNA from 1 species
AGCGUACACGGUGGAUGCCCUGGCAGUCAGAGGCGAUGAAGGACGUGCUAAUCUGCGAUAAGCGUCGGUAAGGUGAUAUGAACCGUUAUAACCGGCGAUUUCCGAAUGGGGAAACCCAGUGUGUUUCGACACACUAUCAUUAACUGAAUCCAUAGGUUAAUGAGGCGAACCGGGGGAACUGAAACAUCUAAGUACCCCGAGGAAAAGAAAUCAACCGAGAUUCCCCCAGUAGCGGCGAGCGAACGGGGAGCAGCCCAGAGCCUGAAUCAGUGUGUGUGUUAGUGGAAGCGUCUGGAAAGGCGCGCGAUACAGGGUGACAGCCCCGUACACAAAAAUGCACAUAUUGUGAGCUCGAUGAGUAGGGCGGGACACGUGGUAUCCUGUCUGAAUAUGGGGGGACCAUCCUCCAAGGCUAAAUACUCCUGACUGACCGAUAGUGAACCAGUACCGUGAGGGAAAGGCGAAAAGAACCCCGGCGAGGGGAGUGAAAAAGAACCUGAAACCGUGUACGUACAAGCAGUGGGAGCACGCUUCGGCGUGUGACUGCGUACCUUUUGUAUAAUGGGUCAGCGACUUAUAUUCUGUAGCAAGGUUAACCGAAUAGGGGAGCCGAAGGGAAACCGAGUCUUAACUGGGCGUUAAGUUGCAGGGUAUAGACCCGAAACCCGGUGAUCUAGCCAUGGGCAGGUUGAAGGUUGGGUAACACUAACUGGAGGACCGAACCGACUAAUGUUGAAAAAUUAGCGGAUGACUUGUGGCUGGGGGUGAAAGGCCAAUCAAACCGGGAGAUAGCUGGUUCUCCCCGAAAGCUAUUUAGGUAGCGCCUCGUGAAUUCAUCUCCGGGGGUAGAGCACUGUUUCGGCAAGGGGGUCAUCCCGACUUACCAACCCGAUGCAAACUGCGAAUACCGGAGAAUGUUAUCACGGGAGACACACGGCGGGUGCUAACGUCCGUCGUGAAGAGGGAAACAACCCAGACCGCCAGCUAAGGUCCCAAAGUCAUGGUUAAGUGGGAAACGAUGUGGGAAGGCCCAGACAGCCAGGAUGUUGGCUUAGAAGCAGCCAUCAUUUAAAGAAAGCGUAAUAGCUCACUGGUCGAGUCGGCCUGCGCGGAAGAUGUAACGGGGCUAAACCAUGCACCGAAGCUGCGGCAGCGACGCUGAUGCGUUGUUGGGUAGGGGAGCGUUCUGUAAGCCUGCGAAGGUGUGCUGUGAGGCAUGCUGGAGGUAUCAGAAGUGCGAAUGCUGACAUAAGUAACGAUAAAGCGGGUGAAAAGCCCGCUCGCCGGAAGACCAAGGGUUCCUGUCCAACGUUAAUCGGGGCAGGGUGAGUCGACCCCUAAGGCGAGGCCGAAAGGCGUAGUCGAUGGGAAACAGGUUAAUAUUCCUGUACUUGGUGUUACUGCGAAGGGGGGACGGAGAAGGCUAUGUUGGCCGGGCGACGGUUGUCCCGGUUUAAGCGUGUAGGCUGGUUUUCCAGGCAAAUCCGGAAAAUCAAGGCUGAGGCGUGAUGACGAGGCACUACGGUGCUGAAGCAACAAAUGCCCUGCUUCCAGGAAAAGCCUCUAAGCAUCAGGUAACAUCAAAUCGUACCCCAAACCGACACAGGUGGUCAGGUAGAGAAUACCAAGGCGCUUGAGAGAACUCGGGUGAAGGAACUAGGCAAAAUGGUGCCGUAACUUCGGGAGAAGGCACGCUGAUAUGUAGGUGAAGUCCCUCGCGGAUGGAGCUGAAAUCAGUCGAAGAUACCAGCUGGCUGCAACUGUUUAUUAAAAACACAGCACUGUGCAAACACGAAAGUGGACGUAUACGGUGUGACGCCUGCCCGGUGCCGGAAGGUUAAUUGAUGGGGUCAGCGCAAGCGAAGCUCUUGAUCGAAGCCCCGGUAAACGGCGGCCGUAACUAUAACGGUCCUAAGGUAGCGAAAUUCCUUGUCGGGUAAGUUCCGACCUGCACGAAUGGCGUAAUGAUGGCCAGGCUGUCUCCACCCGAGACUCAGUGAAAUUGAACUCGCUGUGAAGAUGCAGUGUACCCGCGGCAAGACGGAAAGACCCCGUGAACCUUUACUAUAGCUUGACACUGAACAUUGAGCCUUGAUGUGUAGGAUAGGUGGGAGGCUUUGAAGUGUGGACGCCAGUCUGCAUGGAGCCGACCUUGAAAUACCACCCUUUAAUGUUUGAUGUUCUAACGUUGACCCGUAAUCCGGGUUGCGGACAGUGUCUGGUGGGUAGUUUGACUGGGGCGGUCUCCUCCUAAAGAGUAACGGAGGAGCACGAAGGUUGGCUAAUCCUGGUCGGACAUCAGGAGGUUAGUGCAAUGGCAUAAGCCAGCUUGACUGCGAGCGUGACGGCGCGAGCAGGUGCGAAAGCAGGUCAUAGUGAUCCGGUGGUUCUGAAUGGAAGGGCCAUCGCUCAACGGAUAAAAGGUACUCCGGGGAUAACAGGCUGAUACCGCCCAAGAGUUCAUAUCGACGGCGGUGUUUGGCACCUCGAUGUCGGCUCAUCACAUCCUGGGGCUGAAGUAGGUCCCAAGGGUAUGGCUGUUCGCCAUUUAAAGUGGUACGCGAGCUGGGUUUAGAACGUCGUGAGACAGUUCGGUCCCUAUCUGCCGUGGGCGCUGGAGAACUGAGGGGGGCUGCUCCUAGUACGAGAGGACCGGAGUGGACGCAUCACUGGUGUUCGGGUUGUCAUGCCAAUGGCACUGCCCGGUAGCUAAAUGCGGAAGAGAUAAGUGCUGAAAGCAUCUAAGCACGAAACUUGCCCCGAGAUGAGUUCU